AGUUUUCUGUUGAAAGAAAGGAUGCAUCUGAAAAAGGAAUUAGCAACUUUAAAUGCCAUAUUUAAGGAACAAAUGGCAAGGAAUGAGAAUUUGAAGAGAAUAAAGCUUGAUUUGAAUUUGCAAUGUGCAAAGGAUUCAAGGUUAAUGUCUGGUGUGCUUGAGAAAGCAAUUUGCAGCCAGCCCCAGCAGAGAGAACCCUCUUCUCCCAGCCACAUUAGUUCAUUGUUGCCUAUGCAUGUUCCAGGUGAUAAUACCAAGUUGGAUUCUAGUGAAACACAAGGCGCAAUUUCAAACCAUGAUAGAUCCUUCCUGCUACCUGAUUUAAACAUGAUGCCAUCUGAGGAUCCUCACACUGAAACUCUACCUGGAAUGAGAUGACAAAA
rnacentral:misc_RNA from 1 species